UACAACCAUAUCACGCUGGAACACCAGUUUUUGUCUGGUCACCAAAGUUAAGCAAUGUUAAGCCUGGUCAGUACCUAGAUGGGUGACUGUUUGGGAAGACCAGAUGCUGCAAG